rnacentral:rRNA from 1 species
UAAGCGGAGGAAAAGAAACUAACAAGGAUUCCCCUAGUAACUGCGAGUGAAGCGGGAAAAGCUCAAAUUUAAAAUCUGGCAGUCUCUGGCUGUCCGAGUUGUAAUCUAGAGAAGCGUUAUCCGCGCUGGACCGUGUACAAGUCUCCUGGAAUGGAGCGUCAUAGAGGGUGAGAAUCCCGUCUUUGACACGGACUGCCAGGGCUUUGUGAUGCGCUCUCAAAGAGUCGAGUUGUUUGGGAAUGCAGCUCAAAAUGGGUGGUAAAUUCCAUCUAAAGCUAAAUAUUGGCGAGAGACCGAUAGCGAACAAGUACCGUGAGGGAAAGAUGAAAAGAACUUUGGAAAGAGAGUUAAACAGUACGUGAAAUUGCUGAAAGGGAAACGCUUGAAGUCAGUCGCGUUGGCCAGGGAUCAACCUUGCUUUUGCUUGGUGUACUUUCUGGUUGACGGGUCAGCAUCAAUUUUGAUCAUUGGAAAAAGGUCAGGGGAAUGUGGCAUCUUCGGAUGUGUUAUAGCCCUUGGUUGCAUACAAUGGUUGGGAUUGAGGAACUCAGCACGCCGCAAGGCCGGGUUUUAACCACGUACGUGCUUAGGAUGCUGGCAUAAUGGCUUUAAUCGACCCGUCUUGAAACACGGACCAAGGAGUCUAACAUGCCUGCGAGUGUUUGGGUGGAAAACCCGAGCGCGCAAUGAAAGUGAAAGUUGAGAUCCCUGUCGUGGGGAGCAUCGACGCCCGGACCAGACCUUUUGUGACGGUUCCGCGGUAGAGCAUGUAUGUUGGGACCCGAAAGAUGGUGAACUAUGCCUGAAUAGGGUGAAGCCAGAGGAAACUCUGGUGGAGGCUCGUAGCGAUUCUGACGUGCAAAUCGAUCGUCAAAUUUGGGUAUAGGGGCGAAAGACUAAUCGAACCAUCUAGUAGCUGG